rnacentral:rRNA from 1 species
AUUGAACGCUGGCGGCAUGCUUUACACAUGCAAGUCGGACGGCAGCACAGAGAAGCUUGCUUCUUGGGUGGCGCGUGGCGCACGGGUGAGUAAUAUAUCGGAACGUACCGAGUAAUGGGGGAUAACUACUCGAAAGAUUAGCUACUACCGCAUAUUCUCUGAUGAGGAAAGCAGGGGACCUUCGGGCCUUGCGUUAUUCGAGCGGCCGAUAUCUGAUUAGCUAGGUGGUGGGGUAGAGGCCUACCAAGGCGACGAUCAGUAGCGGGUCUGAGAGGAGGGUCCGCCCCACUGGGACUGAGACACGGCCCAGACUCCUACGGGAGGCAGCAGUGGGGAAUUUUGGACAAGGGGCGCAAGCCGGGUCCAGCCAUGCCGCGUGGCUGAAGAAGGCCUUCGGGUUGUAAAGGACUUUUGUCAGGGAAGAAAAGGCUGUUGCUAAUAUCGACAGCUGAUGACGGUACCUGAAGAAUAAGCACCGGCUAACUACGUG